CAGUCGCCACGGUAAAACAGAGGGUGCGAGCGUUAAUCGGAUUUACUGGGCGUAAAGCGUGCGUAGGCGGCUUCUUAAGUCGGAUGUGAAAUCCCUGAGCUUAACUUAGGAAUUGCAUUCGAUACUGGGAAGCUAGAGUAUGGGAGAGGAUGGUAGAAUUCCAGGUGUAGCGGUGAAAUGCGUAGAGAUCUGGAGGAAUACCGAUGGCGAAGGCAGCCAUCUGGCCUAAUACUGACGCUGAGGUACGAAAGCAUGGGGAGCAAACAGGAUUAGAUACCCCCGUAGUCCCUGUCUCUUAUAC
rnacentral:rRNA from 1 species